UGCGGUUGCCUAAAAGCCAUGGUC
rnacentral:piRNA from 1 species